rnacentral:rRNA from 1 species
CGGGGUGCAGCAGGCGCGAAAACUCUACAAUGCAGGCAACUGCGAUAGGGGAACAUCGAGUGAUCCUCAUAUUGGGGGUCUGUCCCACCGUCUAAAAAACGGUGGUUAGCAAGGGCCGGGCAAGACCGGUGCCAGCCGCCGCGGUAAUACCGGCGGCUCGAGUGGUGGCCGAUAUUAUUGAGUCUAAAGGGUCCGUAGCCGGCUUUGCAAGUCUCUCGGGAAAUCCAGCGGCUUAACCGUUGGUCGUCCGGGGGGUACUACAUUGCUUGGGACUGGGAGAGGUAGGAGGUACUCAGGGGGUAGGAGUGAAAUCCUGUAAUCCUCUGGGGACCACCGGUGGCGAAGGCGUCCUACCAGAACAGGUCCGACGGUGAGGGACGAAAGCUAGGGGCACGAACCGGAUUAGAUACCCGGGUAGUCCUAGCCGUAAACGAUGCUCGCUAGGUGUCACAACAGUCGUGAACUGUUGUGGUGCCGUAGGGAAGCCGUGAAGCGAGCCACUUGGGAAGUACGACCGCAAGGUUGAAACUUAAAGGAAUUGGC